rnacentral:rRNA from 1 species
GGCGUAAAGCGCAUGCAGGUGGCGUAAAGCGCAUGCAGGUGGCUUAGCAAGACAGGUGUGAAAUCCCCGGGCCUAACCUGGGAACUGCAUUUGUGACUGCAUGGCUAGAGUCUGUAGAGGGGGGUAGAAUUUC